AAGGAUGAUGGGUGGAUCAUACUCGUCUUCUCCCAUGUCAACAACUUGAAAGUCUGUGUAGACAAAGUGAUCGUCUAUUUUGACUGGGACAUCAGAUACUAUUCCUUGAACUUCUCAAAAUGUCUGAUCUGCCAUCUGGAGCUGAAUGUAUGUUGGUCUUAGUGGCAUGGUCCCGAACAAGAGCCGAUAAGUGACUGCGGCCAUUAUGUUGACGCCUGAUCCAGUGUCGCAAAUCGUCUUGUAGAAGUUGUAUCCAUUUAUG
rnacentral:lncRNA from 1 species